GACAGAGGAUGCAAGCGUUAUCCGGAAUGAUUGAGCGUAAAGCGUCUGUAGGUGGCUUUUUAAGUCCGCCGUCAAAUCCCAGGGCUCAACCCUGGACAGGCGGUGGAAACUACCAAGCUGGAGUACGGUAGGGGCAGAGGGAAUUUCCGGUUGGAGCGGUGGAAAUGACGUAGAGAUCGGAAAGAACACCAAAUGCGGCAGGAA
rnacentral:rRNA from 1 species